UCUGUGUUAGGCCGUUGUGUCUCAGUUGGCAUAGAAACAACUUGUGCUUGGGAUGAGGACUGGUUGUUGGAGGUACUAGCAAAUUUAUAACCCGUGCACACGCGUACAGACCGCUGCUUCUUGGUCCAUUGUGUUGGCACCCGUAAUGUGUUUGUAGGCUCCAUAUCUGUCUCUGUGACAUGAGUUAAAAUGGCCGACAGAUUUUUGGCAGAACAAGGCGCCCACCAGUCCCAGCAUCUGUAGGAGACAAUGCUUUCUCGAAUAAUGGUGUGACCAUCUCAUUCACACUAUCAAAGAAUCAAGGCAGGAACGAAUUAGUUUGUUACGCAUGAAUACAAUCAUCUAUGUUUCAGUUUAUGUAUUGUAAGUGCUAGUAUUUAAAAGAAUUGAAAGAAUACCGCUUAAAGAUGU
rnacentral:lncRNA from 1 species